AAUGACAAAAACCAGUGAACUAAAUCAUUAUUAACUCCAUGCUUCACACUCAAACAGUAAUAUACACUGUUCAGUAUCAUAAUUACUGUCAUUAUUUCCCCCUGUCAACUGGCCAUUUAACUGACUUAUUUAUUCAAUACUAUACCUUAACCGAUGUUAAACAGGCUAUUCAUGGUUUGCCAACAUUAUCACUUCAUGCAAAAUAUAUUACUUAUUAUUCAUAAUACAUUUUAAUUGACGUAGUUCUUUGACAUACCAACCAACACUACUCUGAUCAUAUUCCCUUCCUCAAUGCUCCUCUAGGAAACAAUGAACGGUCAUCAAUGACAGAGAACAUAUGAACUCAUUAUAUGAAUCAUAAUUCUCUGUCAGCUUCACGCUCAGAAGGAAAUAUCACGACUCAUCAUCGUGGUUAGCGAGACCAAACACUUUAGAAACACAUUUCUCAAGACAGAAACUAUAGAAAUGAUCCCUGAAAGUAUAGUCUUAGUGUGAUUGAGGGUGAACACAGCAGGUCAUUCACAGGACUACCGUUCUCACUCAGGGUUCCUCUCUGCUGUCUCCUCCAGUCAUAUGUGUUUAUGUAAAUGAGACAGCAUAGCACAGCCAAUCACUGCGAGACUCUGAGAGCACCGCUGUGAUAAAGAGAGCACACAGACAGGAGAGAAAGGCAGCACUGGGAUAGAGAAAAACUUUGGUUUUAAAGGAUCUAUUUGUAAGAUUGACAGCACAUGUUUAAAAUGGGUACUGUAGUCCAAAUUCAUAACAUUGUAGCAAGUUGUCUCCCCUGGGUUUCCAGGUUGAGGACACUGAACCUACAGUUCAAGACCUUCUCCCUUUGUAGAUCAUCAGGUCAUCAAAACACUUCACUGUUUGUACAUUUAAAAUAAACAUUAUCAAUGUUAUACCGACGAUUAUUACAAUUAGAGUUUAAGCUGAUUCAUGUUUAUAUCAUAUUGUUUGUUUUUGUAGUUGAGGUAUUUAUUAAAAUAAUGCUGUAAUAAUUAUUACUUUAAAAUGAACCCAUCAGUAAAGGUGAGCGUUAUGAGUUGAUGAAAGAAGGAUCACAUUAAAAGCCAUCAACUACUUUAUUAAUCAUGUAUAAAUGUCCUAUUUACAGAGCAACACAGACAGAUGUCCAUACUCACAAAAGGGAUUAGACAGCAUUGUAAUGAAAUGAUGAGUUAUUGAUAAUGGUCGUGAAAAACACGAGUUACAAUAGUUAUAAGUGAAAAAUGUCUUAAACCUACCCAUUGUACAUAGUAUAUGACUAAACUAAUGAUAGCAACAAUAAAAGUUAUAAUAAUAAUAGAGCAACAAUAAUAAAAUAUAGUAAUCAAAGAUUUCAGUACUCGCUAUUGUAGUUUCCAGAUUCAAGUAAUUUUCACCAUAAUGUUUUACAAUAUAACUCAAGGCAAUGUAAUGACCUUACUGUAAAAGUAAUGCAGAAAGUGAGAAUAUGGAUAUAAACAGUUACUGAAUACAAUAAAGAACAAAAGGAUUAUAGAGUGACUGUAGCUACAGGUUCGAGGCUCUGACUCCAGUAGAAAUUGCUGUUCAUCAGUCUGUCUGGAAGACGGCAGCGUUGAGAAUAAUUAGACAGAAAUUGUGGUGUUGUACUGUGCUGUGGACUAGUUCUUAGCAAAGAGCUGAUGUAGGAAAGAAACAGGUGGAGAAUAAGACCACCCUCUCCUCUUUAGGUCUCCACUAGAUUAUAUAAAUAAGAUACAUUAUAUUGUGCAGCAAGCAUCUUAAUAUGGCCUAAAAACAAUCCAACUCACUGUUUGCUUCCAUCAGGUUUCGUCCGGUCUGAUUGGUCCUUAUGGUCGUUGUAGUCCAGGGCUGUGAGCAGGGUUCUGGCCUCAAAGGCUGCAGAGCUAAAUCAUACAUCAGUGUGUGAUUCUGCACAGACUCAAGAUCAGCUGGAGAUCUGUGAAAACAUACAGUCAUGGGCAUUUAUCUAGCUUUUUAUUCUCAUUGUUCAAAAACAAACACACAAAUGAGUUCAGGUACUUAUGAACUCACUUCAGCCAUUGCUUGUUCCUGAUAAUGUCUGUCAGAGCCUCAUGAGCCUCCUAUGAGCCAGUACUGUGUCCCAUUGUGUUAAUGCAGUCAUGUUGUGUUCCUUUGUCAUAUGGUGACCAGUCCCAGCCACAGCUCCUGGAAAAAUAAAUAAACAUAAACCCUUUCUGCCAUGAAGUUGAUCAUUUCAUCUGAGUUUAUGACUUCCUGUGUUGAUGAAUAAAUAUGCUUGUUGUUACAUUCAUCUACAAAAUCAUUGACUAAAAGCAGCUGGUCUGUACACUUUAGAUUACAGAUGGUUUCUAUAGGAUAACAUAGAUAAAUAGCUAGCAGCUAGGGAUGGGCAUGAGUUAUGUUACUCUAUAUACUAUAAAUCACAUUUGCCAAUUGAGUCAAUCUACAGUCAUAAUUGUGUUUCUGUUGUAUAUUCCUGUCAAGAUAGUAAACAGGGCGGUCCGUCCCAUACACUCCUCUGUGUGCCUGAUAGCGGUCCAACUGCUCCACAGUCCGCAUGCAAUAUGAGUGAAACUGGUGCUAUCAGGCACAGUUCACGGGCCAAACUAUAAUAGUCUCCUAACUGUGUCCUCGCUUGGUUUAUUCCAUGUACACGUCUGUGUCUGGUUGCGGUCUGUGCUCCAAAAAAGCGACCCCCAGAAGUUUCCUUUGGUUUGUUUGAAUGAGUGAGGACCAUAUAUAUAUAUACUGUCAAUGAUGAGGACCAUACUGUCAAUGAUGAGGACUGAGGAGCAGAGAGAGCGCCGGUAACACAGCCGAUGAAUCAGAGAAAUAAACCGUAUUUUAACUAAUAUUAAAAUGCUUUCACUAACGUCUCACAGCGGUUCUGUUCAGCAAAAACAUCUCCACACACCGACACACCACCCCGAGCUCCACAUAAGUCCUGAAGUCCUUUCUGAUACAAAGCUGUCUCCAUCUUUCAAAUGUAUCUCCAACAUUUACCCAUGUUUGA
rnacentral:lncRNA from 15 species